AGGGCUGCACCCCAUGGGAGAGAGCUGCCCAGGAGCAGAUCUGGGAGGGCUCUGUGCCCGUGGGGGGGACUCAGGCUGCAGCAGGUGCGGUUUGGCUGCUGCUUGUGAGAGUGGAGCCACGCUGGGGAAGUUCACACAGAGCUGUCUCCCGUGGGAGGGACCCCGUGGCCUCACAGGGGAAGGAUUCCUCUCCUGGAACAGGAUGGACUCCUCUCCUGGAGCAGCAGAAGAAAAUCUCACUGAUGAACUGACCAAAGCCCCCAGACCCUGUAUCCUGCACUAAGGGCUGGAAUCUGGAGAUGGGUCAGCUGCCAAAUGGGAGAGGACACAAACAACCAGGAAGGAAUGGUCCUCAUAAUAGGAAGAAGAGGGUGGAUGCCUUCUUGUUAAUGGGACACCUGAUAACACCAGAUAAGGCAGUGCCUUCUUAUCUCUUCCUCCACCCAUCCUCCUCUGAGGGACAUCACCUGUGAAUGGGCCAUUUAAGGCCUCUCACAUGACUGAGAACAUCACCUCAUUCCAUUGUGAGAUGCUCUACCCAGUGGGAGGAGCCAAAGCCUUUCCACUGGCAUAAAACCAGCAAUCCCAAACACCAAGAGAGCUUGUUUCCACUGGAUUCCCAGAGGAAGACUGGACCCUUUCUUGAGGAUCAUCUCUACUCCAAUGGAGCCACAUCUGUCACUCCAGGAAAACUUAUUU